UGAAUUAAUUUAAGGUCGUGCCUGCCCAAUGAGGAUUUAAAUGGCCGCGGUAUACUGACCGUGCAAAGGUAGCAUAAUCAUUAGUCUUUUAAUUGAAGGCUGGAAUGAAUGGUUUGACGAAAUAACAACUGUCUCGAUUUAAUAAGUUGAAUUUUAUUUUUAAGUUAAAAAGCUUAAAUGAUAAUGGGGGACGAGAAGACCCUAUAGAUCUUUAUAUGGCGUUUUAAUAUUUUUGUUUGGUUGUAAUUAUAUUAUUAUUAAGAUGUUAUAUUUGGUUGGGGUGACAAGAGAAUAGAAAAACUUCUUUACAUUAAACUGUGAUUUCUGGUUUAAAGAUCCUGUAAUAUGGAAUUAAGAUGAAGAUACCUUAGGGAUAACAGCGUAAUUUUAUUGGAGAGUUCAUAUUGAUAAUGAAGUUUGCGACCUCGAUGUUGGAUUAAGAAAAUGAUUAGGUGCAGAAGU
rnacentral:rRNA from 1 species